UCUACGGGUGGCAGCAGUGAGGAAUAUUGGUCAAUGGGCGAGAGCCUGAACCAGCCAAGUCGCGUGAAGGAUGACGGCCCUACGGGUUGUAAACUUCUUUUGUCAGGGAGCAAUUGGGUCCACGCGUGGGCUUAGCGAGAGUACCUGAAGAAAAAGCAUCGGCUAACUCCGUGCCAGCAGCCGCGGUAAUACGGAGGAUGCGAGCGUUAUCCGGAUUUAUUGGGUUUAAAGGGUGCGUAGGCGGAAUAUCAAGUCAGCGGUAAAAAUUCGGGGCUCAACCCCGUCGUGCCGUUGAAACUGGCAGUCUCGAGUUGGAGAGAAGUAGGCGGAAUGCGCGGUGUAGCGGUGAAAUGCAUAGAUAUCGCGCAGAACUCCGAUUGCGAAGGCAGCAUGCCGGCUCCACACUGACGCUGAGGCACGAAAGCGUGGGUAUCGAACAGGAUUAGAUACCCUAGUAGUC
rnacentral:rRNA from 1 species